UACGGAGGGGGUUAGCGUUGUUCGGAAUUACUGGGCGUAAAGCGCACGUAGGCGGACUUUUAAGUUAGAGGUGAAAUCCCAGGGCUCAACCCUGGAACUGCCUUUAAUACUGGGAGUCUUGAGUUCGAGAGAGGUGAGUGGAAUUCCGAGUGUAGAGGUGAAAUUCGUAGAUAUUCGGAGGAACACCAGUGGCGAAGGCGGCUCACUGGCUCGAUACUGACGCUGAGGUGCGAAAGCGUGGGGAGCAAACAGGAUUAGAUACCCCCGUA
rnacentral:rRNA from 1 species